rnacentral:rRNA from 1 species
GGAUCUUUCAAAUGUCUGCCCUAUCAAUUUGUUGGUAGGUGAUUUGCCUACCAUGAUGAUAACGGGUAACGGGGAAUCAGGGUUCGAUUCCGGAGAGGGAGCCUGAGAAAUGGCUACCACAUCCAAGGACGGCAGCAGGCGCGAAAAUUACCCACUCCCAGCACGGGGAGGUAGUGACGAAAAAUACGGAUACGGGACUCAAUUGAGGCUCCGUAAUUCGAAUGAGUACAAUUUAAAUCCUUUAACGAGGACCAAUUGGAGGGCAAGUCUGGUGCCAGCAGCCGCGGUAACUCCAGCUCCAAAAGCGUAUAUUAAAGUUGCUGCAGUUAAAAAGCUCGUAGUUGGAUCUGGGUAGUGCGAUCGCAUGCUGUUGCUUGUUCACGGUCUUGGUUACGAUCAGGGCAGUGGUCAGCUCGGCGUAGUGGUUGUGCAACCUUUCAGCCGUGUCUGUGUUUUAUUAAACAGGUGUCGAUGGGUUAAUGAGUAUUGUAUCUUAUUGACCUGUUGGCAUGCUUUCGGAUGCCUUUAAACGGGUGUCGGGGGCGGACGGCAUCUUUACUUUGAACAAAUUUGAGUGCUCAAAGCAGGCCUAUGCGCCUGAAAAUUCUUGCAUGGAAUAAUGAAAUAGGACUUCGGUUCUAUUUUGUUGGUUUUCGGAUCCGAAGUAAUGGUUAAGAGGGACAGACGGGGGCAUUUGUAUGGCGGUGUUAGAGGUGAAAUUCUGGGAUCGCCGCCAGACAAACUACAGCGAAAGCAUUUGCCAAGAAUGUUUUCAUUGAUCAGGAGCGAAAGUCAGAGUUUCGAAGACGAUCAGAUACCGUCGUAGUUCUGACCAUAAACGAUGCCAACUGACGAUCCGCGUUGGUUCUAUAAUUGACAUCGCGGGCAGUCCCCGGGAAACCUUUAAGUCUUUGGGCUCCGGGGGGAGUAUGGUUGCAAAGCUGAAACUUAAAGGAAUUGACGGAAGGGCACCACCAGGAGUGGAGCCUGCGGUUUAAUUCGACUCAACACGGGAAAACUCACCCGGCCCGGACACUGUGAGGAUUGACAGAUUGAAAGCUCUUUCUUGAUUCGGUGGUUGGUGGUGCAUGGCCGUUCUUAGUUGGUGGAGCGAUUUGUCUGGUUAAUUCCGAUAACGAACGAGACUUUAACCUACUAAAUAGUAGACUGGUCCUCUGUGCUCGUUCAGGGCGCGGCUUCUACUGCUUCUUUAUGGAGUAGUGUGGUCGUGAUCCGACGGGUGCGGUGCCAGUUUUUACUUCUUAGAGGGACAAGCGGCACAGUUAAGUCGCACGAAAU